GCAUAUCAAUAAGCGGAGGAAAAGAAACCAACCGGGAUUGCCUCAGUAACGGCGAGUGAAGCGGCAAGAGCUCAAAUUUGAAAUCUGGCCCCUCCGGGGUCCGAGUUGUAAUUUGUAGAGGAUGCUUCGGGUGCGGCCCCCGUCGAAGUGCCCUGGAACGGGCCGUCGGAGAGGGUGAGAAUCCCGUCUGGGACGGGGUGUCCGCGCCUGUGUGAAGCUCCCUCGACGAGUCGAGUUGUUUGGGAAUGCAGCUCUAAGUGGGUGGUAAAUUUCAUCUAAAGCUAAAUACCGGCCGGAGACCGAUAGCGCACAAGUAGAGUGAUCGAAAGAUGAAAAGCACCUUGAAAAGGGAGUGAAACAGCACGUGAAAUUGUUGAAAGGGAAGCGCUGGCGACCAGACUCGCCCGCGGGGUUCAGCCGGCAUUCGUGCCGGUGUACUUCCCCGCGGGCGGGCCAGCGUCGGUUUGGGCGGCCGGUCAAAGGCCCCCGGAAUGUAGCGCCUCUCGGGGCGCCUUAUAGCCGGGGGUGCAAUGCGGCCAGCCCGGACCGAGGAACGCGCUUCGGCACGGACGCUGGCAUAAUGGUCGUCAACGACCCGUCUUGAAACACGGACC
rnacentral:rRNA from 1 species